UUCAGUUGAGAAGGUCGCUGAGUGCAUGGA
rnacentral:piRNA from 1 species